GUAACUCUGUUGAAUUACUCUCCUAUAUAUCGUCACGUAUAGAUGGUACGUUCCUUUUACAGCGAGCUGUACGUGUUGCACAGCACAUCUUAUCUAUUCUACAGUUGCAGAGUUGCCUAGGAUUAUGUUCUCAGCAUUUCCUUCUUUGGUCACCUGUGCAGGUUCUGGGUCAGCCACCAAGUUUCCUCUGUUCUGCAUAUUUUGUUUCGUUUGACAUCCAACAAGUCUGGAAGCGAUCUCUUUAUAGCGUCACAUAUAACUGGUACGCUUCUUUUCAAGUCUCGUGCAUUUACUUGGGGCUCAUUGACACCGGUUAGUCUGAAGUGCAUCGGCUAUAAACAUGGGUAUUUUCGAUUAUCUAAAAUUCAUUUCAUCAGGACAUGCAUUUCCAUGAAAAGAAAAUCAUCCCAUCUGCAUCAACAUUGAUGUCGUAGUGAGACCGAGAGAAGCCGAAGAAAACUUGCCAAGUCCUUUUUCCCAUUCUCCCGCGCAACCCAUCCUAUGGCGGCUCCAGGACUGAAAUCCUAGUUCACCCCCCUCCCCCUCUUGCGCUUGAGUCUUGUUUUGUCUCCAUUGGCUAGAGGUGAACAGGGCGAGGCAUGUCACAUGUGGUGAUGGUGGCGUGCGACAAUGGUGACGACGGCGAGGCGCACCAUGGGAACAGUGGAGACAGGCGAUGCCGGAGACACGUGGGUGGCGGUUGGCGCUAUGUGGUGGUGAUGACAAUGGUGUAGGUGCCAAAGUGCGCAUGGUUGGGCGGUGGGGUGCCAGGGGCACAGUGGCGGUAGGCGGUGCUAGAGUCACCUGGGUGGCAUGCGAUGGUGAUAUCAGCACAUGGCGGUGGCGGUGAGAUGCAUAGGGUGGACGGUGGGGCGCACCAGGGCACGAUGGUGGUGGGUGGUGGCGAUUGGCCAGUCAUAGGGGUGGCGUUGGUGGACUAGAUGCACGGUGGUGGCAAGUGGUGUGCCCGCGGCGGACGUGUCGGUCUACUUGUUAAGCUCCGACGACGACAAAAAGCGCAAGGAUCGCGGCGGCAAUGGAAGAUUCGGAGGAAGAGGAUGCGCCAGCGAAGGAAGAUGCAGAGGAGGCCGCUGGUGGUGGCGAGUGGUGUGCCCGGGGCGGAUGUUGUGUCGGUCGACUUGUGGAGCUCCGACGACGACAAAUAGCGCGAGGAUCAUGGCGGCAAUGGGAGAUUCAGAGGAAGAGGAUGUGUCGGGGAAGGAAGAUCAGGAGGAGGCCGAUGGUACCGACGAGGUAUGCAUCCCCUCGUGGGAGGAGGCGGAGAGGGAGUAUGAGUGGGCUCUACCCAAGGAGGAGCACCGGGUGGGAUGUCGGGCUCAUCGCGCACGUCGUGUUGGAAAGGUCCAUCAGCGACGAGCGUGAGAUAGUCGAGAAUCACCAUGACAGGAGUCAAUAGCAAAAAACUACCACAUUACGGGUCAUCGUUCAAAAAAACUACCGCUUUUUUAAUCUUUUCAAAAAGCUACCACAAAAUUGUUCUGCUGUUACAAAAAACUACCAUGUCGCACUGAUGACUACUUUGGUUAACUUUAAACGUUAUUAUGACAGGUCGGGUCCACUUGUCAGGUUGAUUGUUUGAUUUGACCGUUAGUUUGACCAUUGACAGGUUAUGACAGGUGGGGUCUAAGUAUUUUUUUAGCAAAUAGGUCCCUGAAACAAAAUAUAAAAGCAAUCAGGUCCUUGAUUUUUUUUUUAAAAAGCAAUCCCGUCCUCCCGGGGAGCUCGUCGCCGGAGCCGGCCAGUACCACACCGGCGAGCUCGUCAGGGCCGUCCAGCUCUGGCCGUGGCCGGCGGGAAGCAGCAGCCGCGGCGGGCUGGAACCGCCCGAGUUCCCUGGCUGCUCCCCGCCCGUGCUCGAGCUCGCGGCCAGCGGCGGGGCGGCUGCUCGUGGCCAGCGGCGGGGCAGACCUAAGCAGGCAGCGGCGCGUCCAUGACGUGGUGGUGGUCGGCCCUCGCGGCGGCGGCCGUGGUGGUGGCCGGCCCGGAGACGCUCCCCAUGGCGUGGUGGUGGCCGGACCAGGCGGCGGCGGCGGCCGUGGCUCCGUCGGCCAUGGCGCUCGGGAUUUCGAGUGAUAAGGGAGGGAGAGAGGGGAGAAGAGAGAUAAGGGAGAGAGAGCACUUACAUGUGGGACCCAGUUGUAAGUUAACGGUAAACAAACAGUCAACAAACGGUCUGUUUAGUAGCGGGCCUGACCUGUCAUAAACGGGAUUAAUUCUAAGUCGGGUGGUCAUUUGGGUUUUUUGGAACAGCAGAACAAUUUUGUGGUAGCUUUUUGAAAAGAUUAAAACAGCGGUAGUUUUUUUAGAACGAUGACCCGUAAUGUGGUAGUUAUUUGCUAUUCACUCCCAUGACAGCAAGAACAAGAGCUGCUCUUUUAGCGCCGAUGACUCGAAGGUACCAUCGUGGAGCAUCCAUGAUGCCGAUGAGUCCGGCUCAGGGAAGGCGUAUUUGAUCUACCUCUCGUCCGAUAAGGACAAGCAAGUUUAUCUUGUUUUUAGCUCUAAAUCUAUGUUAAUUAGGUUGUAGUUAGUUUAAGUACUUGGUAAUUAGGUCGUAGUUAGUUUAAGUACUUGGAUAUUUAAUGUGCACCCUGAAAUCUAGCGUAGCGGCAUAGGUAGAAAUCUAGCUUUGGUGCUCGAAAGUCCGAGUAGGAAGUAGCUGUAGUAAUGGACUUUUAUUUGCUGUGACAGAAGUUGCAGAAAGUAAAAAACCAUGCAAGUGAUAAGCUCUUAAGAUGUCGGCACUCAUCAUUCAAUGUCUGUUAACACAUGUAAGUAGUAAAAUAAAUUUGAUCAGCUAGCAGUAGCACACUUCGUCUACUACCACACACACACACACACAGUGAGUCUCACAAACACAGUGGCUCAUUAAUGAGUACAAGUGGGACACCACAAAUGUUGAAGGCACCAGUCGCAAUCUCCAAGAAAGCACUAUUCGCAUUGCUCUUGUCCACGCGAACAGAUAGUACUACCACUCCAGUCUUGCUGCAGAACCCACUCAAACUUCCCUGACAUCGACCUCGGGAUACGAGCGAGAACCACCAUGUUUCAUCAUUGUCAUGAGUGCAUCAAUGACAUGGUCUGAGUCAUAGUUGAUCAAGUGAAGCAAUUGAUCAGUACCAGUUCCCGCGAGCCUUGUCAUGGAGGCUGGGUAGUUGGGAACUAGGUUGCCAUCCUCAUUUUGCUCAUAAACAAUGUAGUUUUUGAUGCGAUUAUGUCCUUCCUUUGCUGACAAGGCAUUGACUGAACCAUUCAUCUGUUGCACUGCUUUAAUCAAUUUGUCAUUCCAUCCGUGCACCUCAUAGUACUUGUGCAGCAGGGCAACAUAUAAAGCAAGGAAUGAUCUGCCCAUGCUAGACCAAUCAUGUAAGUGAUCGUUCAACUCUUCAUGAAGCGGGACUGCAUCCCCAUUCUCAAAGUUCUGCUCCGCAAACUGCAAGAACACCCCUGAACGUUGACACUCCCCAAAUAAUAUCAUAAAUGUCUGCAGCAAUCUAACUCUAUCAUAUAUCCAAUCUCCAAUACUAAUGCUGUUCUCUGGAGUGAAUAUUUUCAAGUGACAAUUGGUGGGGGUGAAAGCAAGGAGGCAUUCCAGUAAGUUCAGAGUUAUCCCUUGACCAAGAGUUAUCCCCACUUGCUUCGUGUAUCCACUGUCCCAACUUAGCUUAUUCCCUUUCAGAUCAAAGGGAAGGUUUACAUCCUUAAAGUGAAACCAUCCACCCGGAUUUUCCUUGGUUGGAACAACAUAGAAUGCGAUCAGAUAACCGUUACUUUGGCGAAAUAGAAGCCACAGCACAACCUUGCCGUCCAGCUCAAUCUCGACCAUGUUGUAUGUUUCCUGCAAUUCACAUUUGCACAUCAUUUCAACUCCUAGCCAUAUGUAGGAAAAGGAUAAGAAAAAGAAGAAAAAGAAUCAGCGAAUAUUACAUUUUCGGAAGGCUGCGUGACUGGAACUCCUUGAAUGCUCAUUGAUCUCACUUUCUUAAAGAGCUUGCGUCUAGCAUCCAGAACUUCCUUCAAACCAUCAUAGUUACUCUGAAUGGCGCCACGCUCGUCAAUGCUUUGAAUAUUGCCAUCCUGGUCAGUCUUCAGUCUCCAUAUUACGCUCUUUACAUCCUGCAGCAAAGAGGAAGCAACGAGCAUUAGUUUCUAAAAAUCAUUUGCUAUGCUUUAUCAACUUGCGGACAGAACUCAAGGUCAUAAAUAUAUUGCAAUCUAGCAUUUGCCUCUAUAUAUAUCCAAAAUUCUGAACCUACAGUUAAUAUGACAACUCCGAAACUGCUUGUCAAGUCACAAGAUAAUGAAUUAAAGUGUUGCACUGUUAUCUGCUGGUAGGUAUAACACAUAUGCCCAAACACACCGCUUCUACUCCUGCUUUUGCACUUAAGGUGAACAGAUUAGGUGAACAGAUUGCACAUAUGAUUCAUAAACCAAAGCAUACUGCUUCUACUCUACUUAUGCACCGAAAGGUAACAGAUUGCACAAAGAACUCUUUCAUGAAGAAUAUUGGAGCUUGCAUUUCAUGACAAUGAAAAGGGGCAAAUGAUAUUUUGCAUGUUUGUUCUCACAUUAAGUUAUGCAAAUAUUAAAAUAUACGAAUGUGUUGCUCAUAGUGGUUAAGUUCAAGGAAUAUGUAGUAUUCCUGUUAAUUCUUAGUUAACUUACAGACCUGUGAGAGGCUGUGUAUAUUAGUUUACAUAUAUAAUUCUAAUGAUGUCAGAAAGCUGUGAGAGGCAGUGGUCAUCUAACGAGCAGCUGUAAAUUAACUUUCUCUUUUGAAAUCCACAACCACAAUUAGUUAGCAGCAUGUCAAAUUGAAAAAAAAACAAGUGAGAGAGAAGAAUGCUUGUGGUCGUCCAACACACUGAUUAAGUGAUAUUUGGCAAGACAGAUUUCUUUAGGAAUUAGUUCAAAUUCAAACAAACAUAACUGAGCGUUCGAACCCAAAUUUCACCCUUUCAAACAAGUCCCGUGUGCAGUACCUGUAUGCUGAAAGAUUCUAUUCACUGCUGGCAUAGUCUGAAUAAUUAAGCAAUGAAAUUGCAAAACACCAUACAAUUUCAAUAGCAACAAGUGAAUGAUCUAGGGAUGUGUUUAGUUUGAGCCCCAACUAGCCCACCAAAAUUUUGGCAUGACUAAGACAAGGGCAUGGCUGAAAAUUCGGCAACUACUUGUUGUUUGGAUUAUAGCAAUUGCACCUACUAUUUUUUUUGGCAACAUGUAUUAAUUUUUGCUUAGUUUGAUUCCUAUUCAGCUAUCAUGUUGCGUUAACAAAAGCAGAAACAAAUGUUAAACAGAACUUAAUUAACUACAGUGUGGCAAAAGAAACUGAAUGGACCUGUAAAAAGAAUGUUAAACAGAACUUAAUUAACUACAGUGUGGCAAAAGAAACUGAAUGGACCUGUAAAAAGUGUGGAUCUUUAACACAGAUGUCACCAUGCACCUAAUUCUACCUAUCUCUGAAGACAUAGUUGAUUAUAGGAAAAGUCACAGCUGAUUAUACGGAGACUGAAACAACUAUAUUGACAUGGCUAAACAGGACUAGUUACACUUACAUGGCUUCAUACAUGGAAACUGGACACGCGCUUAAUGAUCUAUUCAAACUAUUGCUGGAUGAGAUGUCACCGCUUAUUGCUUCCGUCAACCGUCAACGUGAACUCAUGUAGUUAAUCUACCUCACUAAUUGCUUCAGUGUUGCAGUACAGAAUGAGGCCCCACAUAUGUGAAGCGGGCAAGCUGGUCUGCCAAAUAUUUGGCGAGUGCUUUAGCGCAAACGGCAUGCCCAGGCGUUGGCGAAAAUUACAUGGGAGCAUGAGGACUUGCUUUGGCGAACCAAAAUUUUGGCAUCUAUAUGCAAGCGGAAGGCAAAUCUCACAGACAAGUCACAAAAUUGGUAUGGCUAGUAUUGGUAGUAACCAGACACCUGAAGUCUUACCAAAGAUAAAAUUUACUUUCAAAGUCAAUUAUAUUGGCGUUGCAACAACUGGCAAUCCCUUGCAAGUUCAUAAAUUCAGUUACUUUAUUGACUGUCCCUAAAUACCAGACCGGUCAAAUUCAUCAAAACCUGCUUUUUAAGCUAGACGCAGCACAAGCAAGUAGAUAUUCGCCCAGAUCUACUUUUCAAGUAAAUAUCCUAGCCGGAUGUAGAAAAUAUCCUAUCAUUUCACCAGAUCUAGAGAUACGAAAGAAUAUUUGGAAGCCGAAGAUGGCAGGGGGGAUGGAUUGGUAGAUGCAUACCGAAAUGCUGGUCUGCUUGCAAGCAAUCGACCGCCUCGAGGCCUCCUGAAAAGCCAAAUCCUUUUUCUUCUGCACCGCAUCCCCCGCCCCACUACUCUGGCUGCUAUCAGAUGGCCGACUGCUGCUACUGAUAGUUGCCCUCGUCCCUCCGCGGCUGCUGGAUUCGUUGACCGACGCUCCUCCUUUCUUCCCCCCUUCCCCCCGGCCAUGUGUAGCGCCGCGCCGCGCCUCCCACCGCCCCUUCCUCUUAGUGCAAGCGACGAAUCUGUGGAGAGAGUAGAAGCGGAGGAGCACUUGCGGUGACUGUAAAGUCGACACCUUUCUACUGCCUGCCCGACUAAUGCUUCUCAAGAGAGGAUGUUUUAGGAUAUCUCCAAGGCCGGCCCUCAAAAGGCCUGUUGUGCCAUUCAAUAUGGGCCUGUAUCGGUCCAUCGAGUGACUCAGGCGUGUUUUCUUUCACAAACGAAACCAAAGACAAACGUGGGGAUUUGCAAGCCUCCGGACCACUCCCAAGUCCACGUCUGACCGCUUUGGCCCACCCAAAUCGUCCCCUCGUCCGCGAUCGCUUCCCACCUGUAACGGUUAGCGCCGCUUCAGAGCGCCAGUGCCGCAUUCAUGCUCGGCUAGAGUGUACGUAAUUUCUCAUUGUCGCCGGCAUUGAAGCGGCAUAUAUGUCGAGAGACCGUUGCCCACGCUACUUCCCGGUGCAGGCGACUGCUCCGCGUUCAGACGACACCGAGACAAGAUACGAACUAUCCUAUGUGACCUUGAGAAGAUAUAUCGUCCAGCCUUAUUUGAUGUGAUGCUGCAUUUGACUAUUCAUCUACCUGAUGAGGCACUACUUAGAGGUCUAGUACAGUACGGCUGGAUGUACCCUAUUAAAAGGUGGCUAUGCACUUUCAAGGGCUAUGUUAGGAACAGAGCUAGACCCGAGGGUUUCAUUGCAGAUGCCUACAUUGCUACAGAAGCUUUGUCAUUUUGCUCAAAAUACAUUGAAACAGCCGAUCAGCUUAGCAAAGAGGUGGGUGAAGACAAUCCCGGGCUCAAUGUUUUCGAUUAUUCUGUUUGAGUCACAGGGAAGAGUCGACAAGAGGACAAAACCUAAAGAUUUGGACAAAAUGGUUUGGUAUCUGUUGAAUAACUAUUCUAAGAUACUACCUUAUAUCAAGUAAGUGCUUACUGUAGCUUAUACAUCGUAAUCUACUAAACUUGCAGCACAUUAUUAUAUAUUUAGAUGUUUGACGCGGCCACUAUGUUGUGCAGCAUCUACAAAAAGGAGUUACUACCGCAAAAUCCAAGAAACAUUGACAAACUGGUUAUGACAGGAUUUGCGAAAUGGUUCAAGAGCCAUGCAUGCUUUUGAAUUGCACUGUCAGUUUUUUUAAUAUAUUGAGUACAUAAGAUGAUCAGCUUGUCUAUUUUUUAACCAUAGGUUAAGAAGAUGCGGGAGAAUGGGCAUGCAGUUGAUGAUGCCCUUUACGCACUAGCGACGGGUUCUGAUACUCGGGUAAGACAUUAUGAACCUUGCGUUGUCGGAGAUGUGCGCCACAACACCCUUGCACACGAUGAAGGCAGGAAGACACAAAACAGUGCCAUCAUGAGCACUGAUACGUACGGCAAAGAGACAACUGAAAUGUAUGCUAGCAUAACAGACAUUGUUUAGUUGCAGUAUAUCUCCAGUUUCGAGGAUCAUCAGUGUGUGGUUCUGUUGUGCCGUCGUUGGUAUAACCUGUUUUCCAGGAUCGCAAACCAGAGCUGGUGAUUAUUUCAAAUCCAUCAAUGUCAAGGCAGCGUAUCAGACCAACGAGCCUUUUAUUUUGGCAAAUCAAGCAACACAGAUAUUUUUCUUGGAAGACACAUUUGCACGUAGCGAUGACCGGAGAGUAUUGCAAUGGUUUGAGCAAAGGAAUUCAUUUAAUGAAGUUGCACAACAAGAUGAUGCUUAUACUACUGCUGACCUACAAUAUUCCACAGAUGUUCCUAAUAUCUUUGAGAAUUAUCAUGUUAAUGACGCUGGCAAAAAGAUUGUCUGUUGUGCUGUGGACAUACAAGAGUUGAUCAAAAAGAAGCCAACGUUCGAGGACAUUGAGGAUGAAGAAGAAGAUGACACUAUGGGAAUUACGAUUCAGACUGAUACACAUGGCAAAGAUGUUGACGCUGCUGCUGUGGAUGAUGAUUAGAUUGCUUUUGUCGUAUUUGCCUGUCAGAAGACGUUUUUUAUCUGCUAUGUAAAUUGUGUUUUUUAUGACAACUGAAACCUGAUGAACGUGUUGUUUAGUAUUUUGCUGUGAGAACAUCACUUCUUAUGUAUGUUGAUUUGUGUUUGGUGAUUGUAUGAUGACUAAAACAUGAUGACAUUGUCGUUUAGUUGUACUCAUAUUUGGUUGUGAAACUUGAAUUUGAUGACAUAGUUUCCUGUUGGACUGCAA
rnacentral:lncRNA from 1 species